rnacentral:rRNA from 1 species
UUGGAGGGCAAGUCUGGUGCCAGCAGCCGCGGUAAUUCCAGCUCCAAUAGCGUAUAUUAAAGUUGUUGCAGUUAAAAAGCUCGUAGUUGAAUUUCGGGGUCAGUAGGUUGGUCAUGCCACUGGUAUGUACUGGCCUCACUGAUUCCUCCUUCCUGAUGAGCCGUAAUGCCAUUAAUUUGGUGUUGCGAGGAAUCUGGACUGUUACUUUGAAAAAAUUAGAGUGUUUAAAGCAGGCUAACGCUUGAAUACAUUAGCAUGGAAUAAUGAAAUAGGACGUUCGAUCUUAUUUUGUUGGUUUCUAAGAUUGACGUAAUGAUUAAUAGGGAUAGUUGGGGGCAUUAGUAUUCAAUUGUCAGAGGUGAAAUUCUUGGAUUUAUUGAARACUAACUACUGCGAAAGCAUUUGCCAAGGAUGUUUUCAUUAAUCAAGAACGAAAGUUAGGGGAUCGAAGACGAUCAGAUACCGUCGUAGUCUUAACCAUAAACUAUGCCGACUAGGGAUCGGAUAAUGUUAAUUUUUUAAUGACUCAUUCGGCGCCUUACGGGAAAC